rnacentral:rRNA from 1 species
UUGACCUCGGAUCAGGUAGGGAUACCCGCUGAACUUAAGCAUAUCAAUAAGCGGAGNAA